GUCAACGGAAGGUGUCCAACAUCCCUCGUCGAGAUCGUGCGUGUUCCCCACGUAUCUGGAAUAUCAGUCCAAAAGUCUCGUAUCUUUUCGCCGUCCAGUGAUCUGUUCCUUAUGGCCGAACCGGCUAGUUCAAGAAAUUUACAUACACAUUCAAGCGUUUGGAGUGCACGUACAAGACUAUGCGUAAACUUGGUGAAUUGUUACCGCAGCCAGUUCAGCUAUAAAGAACAGACCAUGGAUCUAACUCGACAAGCACGAACACAGUGGACAGUAACGCAACAACCGACAGUAACAUAACAUCAAUGUUGUAAUUUCGCAUUCAACAACGCGACUGUCACAUAACACGCGCGUUAUAUUGUAUUUAUAUCGGUAAACGCCAACCAACAGUAACAUAACAUCAACGUUGUUAUUUCCCGUUCAACGACGCAACUGUUACAUAACACGCGUAAUAUUGCAUUUAUAUCGUUGAGUGGGAAAUUAUAGCACUGAUGUUAUGUUACUGUUGUCACUUGGUUGGUGUUCGCUGGGAAAUCGAACAUUCCGUCUCGCGGCCUCCGCGAACAUGCGUGUAUCCCUCGAGCUGUCUAGUUUUCCUCUUCGUUUCAUCUGUGAUGUGUUAGAUCGGGGAAAUAAUCACGACGAGGAGAUCGAUGUUCUGAUAGCGUCGGGGAAGGGAGUGGAAACUGAUUGACUGAAAUAAUACCUUGGAGAUUUGUCCGGGUCCACGGAUUCGGAUAGGUAUUCUUGGGAUUAGCAGGUACAUCAUGCGGGAGUCGCGCGGAAUGGUAUUUCAGGAAAGGUGGAGCGUCCGCAAUCAGGAAGUGUUUACAUUAUCCGCGCCGCUACAUCGUGACCUACGUCGUCUACGUUGAAUGAUAGUACGAAUAAACCUACUGAUAUGACAACUAGCCGGUACUGAAAAAGAAGUUGCGUAUUAAUGACUCAUUGACAACCAAAACAGGCCUAUUAGCGGUGCGUGAGCGCAUUUUUCAAGACACGAAACGACUCGAGGUAGGAACCCGUUUAGAACACAUC